CGUCCUCACCGCCGUUCACCGUUCUCGUCACGGUUCGUAAUCUCAUUCUUUUUAUAGCUUUUAAUCUUGAAUAAGUGACAGUGAUUUUCUGAAUAUGAAGGAUGAUAAGAUACAUUUUAGAAUCUUAUUUUCUUUGAACUUCAUGCCAAUCAUAGAAGUUUAUAAUCAUUGGGUAUUAAAGUUAAACAAUAACGAUUCAUUUUCUGCUCUGUUUUAUGGCUUCUAGCUGUUUGAUGAAAUGCACAGCUGAAACAAAACUUAAUAUUUGUUGUUCGGGAAGGUUUGAAUGACGAGUAAGGACAAUGCUGUGGAAGAGACACUAAUAGUAGAUGCUGUGUUUAUUUAAAAGUGUACUACUGCCUUUCAGGAUGCAUUGGGUGGAGAUGACAUUGAUAUUGUAGCUGCUUCCCAUGAAGAACUAGACGCGUAGUUAGAAUCGUUGAGGGAAAAACUAGCUGAGCUUUUACUGGACUGAAGAAUGUAAAUUUAGUACCUGCAGCUAAUACUUAUGUCCAGGUUUUUUUUCUUCUGAUUACUGUCCUUCAAUUAAGUUAAGAUUGUAAUUAAUGUUGUUAAAAUUCAAGAAAUCAUACAACACUUUAUGGCAAGAAAAGAGUAAUUUCAAUUUUCAUUUCUUGUAAUAGUAAAUAAAGGUUUGUAUGGCAACCGUUAUUUUAUUAAAGAAUACAGCCAUUCAAAUGAGAUUCUGCUUUGGUUUCUUCAUUAAAUACAUAUUGAAUUGAUGAAGGGAAGUAUAUCAUCACGUGCUUGAUUUUGUUACACUGAAUUUCUUUUGCUGUUAGAUUCGAGGAUUGGCAUGGCCUUGUUUGCUUGUUGGAUUGGUUGCUCAGAGUGCAAGGUGCAAACAUACUAUUUUUUUUCAUCCCUUCCUGUUUUCAGGUUGUUGCUUCGUAUAUGAUGGCUUUAAUUAGUCUUUCCGCUCCUGUAUUUAUUUCCUUGAUGCUAAAGGUUGAAUACAAUAUUUUUGUUAUAUUUGUUGCUCUUUAUCUCGAGUAGUCGAACCCUUAAAUGUAACUGAAAGUUUCGAUGUUUAGAUGGCUUUCUACUCUCUACUCAUAUAUUUUGCUACAUCAAUGGGUACACAUACAACGGCUGCCCAUCAAGUCAUGAUUCAGAUCUUCUGGAUAUGCACAGUAUGUGAUGAACCUCUCUCCCAAACUGCUCAGGCAUUUAUGCCUGAGUUGAUGUAUGGAGUAAAUCAGAGUUUGGAAAAGGCUAGGUCACUUCUAAGGUCUCUUGUGACUGUUGGAGCUAUACUUGGGUUGCUCUUUGGGAUAGUUGGAACAUUUAUUCCUUGGUUAUUCCCCUACAUGUUUACACCCUGAUCAGAUGGUCAUCCAGGAAAUGCACAGGAUCCUGAUUCCAUACUUUUUAGCGCUAGUGGUCACACCUGCAACUAUCAGCCUGGAGGGACAUUGCUGGUACGCUCGUGUGUUCGAUUAGAAUAUUUGGGUUUUCAUUAUUUAAGGAGUUUCCACUUAAUUAUUCUAGGAUCUCUAACUUUGUCUUGUAUUUACUUAUUUGUUCCUAGCUUGUUUCUUGUUACUACUCAUUCAAAUAAAGGCAACUGAAUGCAUUAUAUUGCAAGUAUUAUUUUAAGGUUGUAAGCUAAUUGUGUAUAUUUUAAGGUCGGCAAACCUUUCUAUUUUUAUGGUGGCUUUCAACAUGAAUCUGGCUUGAAAGCGUUGAGGCGGUGAAUUUUUGGUUAACAUUUCUACUGGUUUUUUUGCCCUCCCUGUAAUACUUCUAGGGGAGCAAAUAUUA